GUCAUAUGCUUGUYUCAAAGAAGCCAUGCAUGUCUCAGUACAAGCCAAAUUAAGGUGAAACCGCGAAAGGCUCAUUAAAUCAGUUAUGGUUCCUUAGAUCGUACCCACAAUUACUUGGAUAACUGUGGCAAUUCUAGAGCUAAUACAUGCAAACAGAGCUCCGACCGGAGACGGAAGGAGUGCUUUUAUUAGAUCAAAACCAAUCGGUGGCGGGUUCGCUCGUCAUCGUACAACUUGGUGACUCUGAAUAACUUUCGGCUGAUCGCACGGUCAUCGCACCGGCGACGCAUCUUUCAAAUGUCUGCCUUAUCAACUGUCGAUGGUAGGUUCUGCGCCUACCAUGGUUGUAACGGGUAACGGGGAAUCAGGGUUCGAUUCCGGAGAGGGAGCCUGAGAAACGGCUACCACAUCCAAGGAAGGCAGCAGGCGCGCAAAUUACCCACUCCCGGCACGGGGAGGUAGUGACGAAAAAUAACGAUACGGGACUCAUCCGAGGCCCCGUAAUCGGAAUGAGUACACUCUAAACCCUUUAACGAGGAUCAAUUGGAGGGCAAGUCUGGUGCCAGCAGCC
rnacentral:rRNA from 1 species